UACGUAGGGGGCAAGCGUUGUCCGGAAUCAUUGGGCGUAAAGCGCGUGUAGGCGGCUUGGUAAGUCCGCUCUGAAAGCCCGGGGCUCAACCCCGGGAGGCGGGUGGAUACUGUCAAGCUCGAGUCCGGAAGAGGCGAGUGGAAUUCCUGGUGUAGCGGUGAAAUGCGCAGAUAUCAGGAGGAACACCGGUGGCGAAGGCGGGUCUCUGGGCCUUACCUGACGCUCAGGUGCGAAAGCUAGGGGAGCGAACAGG
rnacentral:rRNA from 1 species